UUGAAAUAUCAUUUCACACUUGAUUUUUUGUUGAAAUGAUUAUUAAUAUGAUUUUUUUUUUGAACGAGUUUUUUUGGUGGUUGGUGACGCCGGAGUUCGAAACGUCGUCGGAGUCAAGAUCUAGUAAUGAAACAUAUCCAUAAAGAUAUUCAAUUGACAAGCUGGAUGGAUGCGGGGAUAUUGAACAAGUCAAAUCUUUUGGGAAAGAAGUUUUCAUUCGUUUAUAACAUGUGUUAGUGGUUCAUGCUGUAACAGAUCCAUAAAGAAGUUUUCAUGUUGUAACAAGUUUUCGUUCAUGCUGUAACAGAACAACAUGAUGUAACCAGACAUGUGUUCAUAUAUAACAUGUGUUAAGCCCCUGAUAGAAUAAUAUAUAACGUGUGUUAUCCUUGUUAA